AGUGAACGCUGGCGGUAGGCCUAACACAUGCAAGUCGAACGGCAGCACAGUAAGAGCUUGCUCUUACGGGUGGCGAGUGGCGGACGGGUGAGGAAUACAUCGGAAUCUACUUUUUCGUGGGGGAUAACGUAGGGAAACUUACGCUAAUACCGCAUACGACCUACGGGUGAAAGCAGGGGAUCUUCGGACCUUGCGCGAUUGAAUGAGCCGAUGUCGGAUUAGCUAGUUGGCGGGGUAAAGGCCCACCAAGGCGACGAUCCGUAGCUGGUCUGAGAGGAUGAUCAGCCACACUGGAACUGAGACACGGUCCAGACUCCUACGGGAGGCAGCAGUGGGGAAUACUGGACAAUGGGCGCAAGCCUGAUCCAGCCAUACCGCGUGGGUGAAGAAGGCCUUCGGGUUGUAAAGCCCCUUUGUUGGGAAAGAAAAGCAGCAGGUUAAUACCCCGCUGUUCUGACGGUACCCAAAGAAUAAGCACCGGCUAACUUCGUG
rnacentral:rRNA from 1 species